ensembl:snoRNA
GCAUGGGUGAAUUCUGCAUUAGCGUUGGCAGUGGCUAAUGGAGUCAGACACCAUGCGAGAAGAUCGCGUCUGCCUGGGAUGUUCCUACCGGUGUGCUCUAUGUGAGGCAGCAUGGCCACAUCCGAGGCAGAUACAAAG